UGGGGAAUUUUGGACAAUGGGGGAAACCCUGAUCCAGCCAUCCCGCGUGUGCGAUGAAGGCCUUCGGGUUGUAAAGCACUUUUGGCAGGAAAGAAACGUCGCGGGUUAAUACCCCGCGAAACUGACGGUACCUGCAGAAUAAGCACCGGCUAACUACGCGCCAGCAGCCGCGGUAAUACGUAGGGUGCAAGCGUUAAUCGGAAUUACUGGGCGUAAAGCGUGCGCAGGCGGUUCGGAAAGAAAGAUGUGAAAUCCCAGAGCUUAACUUUGGAACUGCAUUUUUAACUACCGGGCUAGAGUGUGUCAGAGGGAGGUGGAAUUCCGCGUGUAGCAGUGAAAUGCGUAGAUAUGCGGAGGAACACCGAUGGCGAAGGCAGCCUCCUGGGAUAACACUGACGCUCAUGCACGAAAGCGUGGGGAGCAAACAGGAUUAGAUACCCUGGUAGUCCACGCCCUAAACGAUGUCAACUAGCUGUUGGGGCCUUCGGGCCUUGGUAGCGCAGCUAACGCGUGAAG
rnacentral:rRNA from 1 species